rnacentral:lncRNA from 1 species
GCAGUACAGUUUUUCAAAAUGAAUUCUUUUCGAAUAAAUGUAUGUGUAUCAAAUAGUCUUAUUUGUUUGCUUUUUGUAUUGGAUAUUCAUGAAUAUCCCCCAGUGGAUUGCAGAGCAUUAGAAACAAGCGUAAAACUCCUUGAUUUUGAUGUUUUGAAUACAUUCCGCAAGAUCAAAGCUGAAGCGAAUGACGUGGACAAGACCUUACUGGUAUCCAAAGAAACAAUUAACAGGCAAUUGAAAAUAAACAAACGAUUGAAAAAAUCGGCAGUCCUCCAAAGCACAUCGAUAACAACAUUUUUACUGACGGCCAUGUGUUCUGCGUGCAAGAAAAACAACACCACCUGCCUUAAAAGUCUGGAAUGCUUUUCACGACUGAUCUAAUUUCCUAGCAUAUCUCUAGGAAAAAAUAUUUUUAAAAAUUCAUUCUGUGAUAUAUUUUCGUUACAAUGUAUGAGGUAUUUCAUCUCAAAUGUAAAUAUAUCGGCUUUAUAUCAAUUAUUUAAUUGUCAACUACAUUAAUUAUAUUUUGUCAAAAUGCUACUUUAUUUCUUGAAGUGCUAUUCCUACACUGUAUACAAGUAUAGAUGCUGUCAUAACAUGCUGAAUUUCUGAAUUAAUUUUCAGUGAAUAUUGCCUUUUCUUGCCUUACCUCAAAGUAAGAGUGGAAAAAACAGUCAAAGAUAAUGUCUUCAAAGCAGGCAGUUGUCCUUCACUUCCUACAUGAACAUAGUACUGUCAUGUGUUACAAGACAUGAAAACCAUUGCGUCUUCAUAUUCCAAGCUAGGCUAAGCAUAAAUUCUAUAUAAUCUUCCAGUAAAAUAUUUUGAUAAUAUUGUGCAAUUUGCCAUCAGUGAAAGGCAAACAUCAGUUAACAAAAUUAUGUAAUAAUUUGUUAAGGAUAUGAGAUGGAAGAUUUCAAAAGAAAUCAGGAAAAGUAUUAAAUAAAUACUAAUACACGGCUUCUUUCUAAAAUGCAGUUUUAUAUAGAUUUGUCUGUACAUGUCCUGUUAAAAUUAAUUAUUUUAUUUGACAUUAAUUGUACACUUUGAUUGUCUCAAGACUAAAUCCAUUGUACCAGUCUGAGACAAAGCGCAAACACCAAACUCGCAAGUCAAUCCCAUAACAACCCAUAAGA